rnacentral:lncRNA from 1 species
UUCAACGACAGACCCUUUUAUUCUUGAAUAUUUACUGUUUUAUUAACUGUAUUGUGUUUUAUUACCAUAUUAUUGUGAUAUUAUCUGUAUUAUCUGUUACUAAUCUUAUAUAUUUUGUUUUUCAGGUGUUGAAACCGGUGUGGGUAUACUGACACCCCGCGGUCAAACAUGAGUGAAGAUUAUCGCCUAGAGGGCACUGAGGAGCUGAGGGCUGCAUGUCUGCAGUGGCAGGGUGAGGGUCCAGACCCCUGGAUGGAGCUCAGGAGGGUUCAGCAUGAGUUCCUCGAGGGGAAGCUGAGGGCCCUCAUUCAGAAGGUGGAGUCUCACUGCGCACAAGACCCCCUCAUUCUCCUGCCUUCUUGCGGCACCGAGGAGCCAGACCCCUGGAUGGAGCUCAGGAGGGUUCAGCUCGAGUUCCUUGAGGGGAAGCUGAAGGCCCUCAUUCAGAAGGUCAGUAAAACACAUAACAAUUAUUUAAGAUGUAAAGAAGCAUCACAGUCAUGUGUUUUACACACUGUAAAUGCUUGCAUAUGUCAACAUAUGUUGAUUUAUGUUUUUAAAAAUGGUUGGAUUAUUAUUUUUUUUAUUGUAGGUGGAGUCUCACUGCGCACAAGACCCCCUCAUUCUCCUGCCUUCUUGCGUGAGUCUCCAUCAAACUGUUAUUGUUGA